CUCCUCCGGGCUUCCUUCAUCACUGCCGCCUCCAGGUGGAUGCCAGAGUUUGAUCCCUGGCUUUCCCAGGCUUGUUGAUGCCGACAAGGGUGCUGACUUAGCACAGGGCUCUGGGGCCAGCCCAAAUGCAGUUUGCUGAUCCCCUCUGAGCCCAGGUGUGCCUGAGAGCAGGAAACUGCCCUUUUUAUUCCACUCCUGCCUGUCUUCAGGAAAUUUAAGACCUUUGUUGUAGUUACUCUACUUCCAGGAGGGUGGGGCUGAAGUAAAGUCACCUUGCUGUACUUAGAGAAGGUAGACCAGGUGGCCAAACUAGUACGUAGACCAGGUGGCCAAAGUAGUAGGUAGACCACGUAGCUAAACUAGUAGGUAGACCAGGUGGCCAAAGUAGUAGGUAGACCAGGUGGCCAAACUAGUAGGUAGACCAGGUGGCCAGACUAGUAGGUAGACCAGAUGGCCAAACUAGUAGGUAGACCAGGUGGCUAAACUAGUAGGUAGACCAGAUGGAUAAACUAAUAGGUAGACCAGAUAACCAAACUAACAGGUAGACCAGGUGGCCAGACUAGUAGGUAGACCAGAUGGCUAAACUAGUAGGUAGACCAGGUGGCCAGACUAGUAGGUAGACCAGGUGGCCAGGCUAGUAGGUAGAUCAGGUGGCCAAAGUAGUCGGUAGACCAGGUGGCCAGACUAGUAGGUAAACCAGAUGGCUAAAGUAGUAGGUAGACCGGGUCAACAAAUUAGGAGGUAGACCGGAUGACCUAGCCUGAAGGUAGACAUGGUGGCCCAGCCAGAAGGUAGACUAGAUGGCCCAAUGUUGAGGUGCACCUGUAGUGGGGAGGGGUGUAGAGGGGGUGUAGAGCUUGACACUUAGGAAAGGCUGAUGGCGGAGAUGAUUCCACUCCAGCCCCACUCAGCUCCUGUGCUGCCCUCUUGUGGUCACUCAUUCAACGCACUGUCCUUGGCUGCCUUUGGCAGGCACAUGGCUGGGCUCUGGAGCUGCCCGAGCCACCUCUGUCCCUGACUGAGUCCUCCAUGCCCCUCU